rnacentral:SRP_RNA from 2 species
UGGCGGGUCUAGGCGGGGGGCUAGGGGUCCUCUGAACCGUAAACCCUCUACACGACGGGCUGAAUGCUUUGGCGAGGCGUAAAAGAUCGUCAGGCAUCCUUGGUCCACUAACAGUGACUAUCCGUCCCUUUAGGCUGGCGGUCAUGGAGCGGUCUUCGUAGGAAGGCUGUUAACCGUGUCCAUCAGGCGAACCUGGCCAGGCCCGGGAGGGAGCAACCUAAGCUUGGACGUUCAGCGCUUAAGGGACAGCGGGUAAGAGUUUAGAGAUCAAGGAAACUGCCGAAAACUAGACGUCGAACCAAGGCGACCCGCCA